UCGGUGUGUAGAGUGUUUGUCUAUCGUAUAUGAAGCCCAGCACCACACAAAUGGACUAUGAUGGUCCAUAUCUGUAGUGUCAGCGCUCCAGAGGCGAGGCGGGUGAAUCAGAUGCUGAAGGGCAUCGUUGAUUACACUGUGAGUUCACGGCCAGCCUGGAAUACUUUCGACCUGGUCUAAAAACGAAACUGUUUCUGCCACUAGUGGCUGGCUUCGUUUUUAUGUAAAUGGGACUGGAGACUUGACUAGCCGGGGAGCUUUCUGAGGUCGAGCUGGAUGGAAACACACCUCUGGGAGGGGGCUCCGGCUGUCCCUGAGUCCAACCUUGAGUGAGGAGCAGCAGAAAAGGCUUAUACUAAGAUCGCCCAUACUUCCACGUACUGACGGAGGCCAGUCACCUGUGCCCACAGAGAAGGGCCUAGAAGUCUCAGUCCCUGCUCUCCCUUCUCUUCACCCCCUGCUCUAAACCUUUCUUCUCUCCACGAGCAGCUGCUCAACUAAAAUGAAGUCAGAUUCCCAGGCUUGAGUAGUGGUUGGAGGGAGCCCUCCCGGCUUGCCCUGUAGGUGCGCCUCACUGUUACACUCGUUAUGUAAGCUGAGCAGCAGCCGACAUGCCUCGCGGAUGAGUGUGUGCGUCUGCACCCCCAUCUCAGCCAGGGGAGUCACUCGGGCUUUCCCUGGGUCUGAAAUAGUGUGGCACUGAGGCAUGUAGUGGCAGAAAACACUUUUAUCGCCCGCCGAAGAGGGCCAGUUGGUGGGUGUUAUCCCCCCCCCGAGUGCUCUUCUCCAGCACGGCCUCAGGAAAAACCAGUUUUGGAAGCACCACACCUAGGGUCAGAUGAUGCAACGUGAUAUUAGCGUCGGGUUGCAUCAGCGGUUCUGACGCAUGUGCCUUUUACGCCGGCAGAAAGCAGUAUAAUGGGGCCGGAGAAAGAAAGAGACAUUCGUUGCUUGAAAGCCUUUUAAAGGCGCCCUCAGCGUUUCUAAUUGGCCACACAGGGUGUUGUCGGGAAGAUAAACGCCCAACCAGCCACCUCCCCCGGACAAGCUCCAGCAUGCCGUUUCCUGAAACCGGGACCUGACGGCACACUUAAGGCAGAAUUCUUUUCUGGUUGGUUCUAAUGUUUUAUAUCAAAGCCUCAAGGUUUAAUCUCUUCAAUCUUUUCGAAUGCCUGGCCUAUUAAGAGGCUUUCAAACGGUGCUCCUAUGUGGUCUUGACCUGAAUAUCUCCGAAAUGCACCAGUCGAGGCUCAUUUUCGGAGUUGUUUUACAUAAGUGCAUCCAACUCUCAGGACACACAGACUUGUGACUUUGUCAAAUAACUUAGAUUUGGUUCGCUUGGAGUCUGUUUGCCUUCAGAUACUUGCGUGUCGUCCCCCCCCCUUGUUUCUCGAUAUAAUAAAGAAUGAACUUCAAAGACCCUAGAACUCUUUAGCCAAUCAAGCAAGUUGCUAAAAAAAGAAACUUUCAACUCGAGCAACUCGGGCACUUGAGAGGUGGAGGAAGGAGGAGCAAGUGUAAUGCCAGCCUGGGCUACAUGUCCGCAACCCUGCACAUUGCUAGCCCGGUUCUGUGAGAUGGCCCCUGUCAACUCCGCACUCAGCCUUGGCUCUUUAAUCUCACCCCAGCACCUCUGGCCACUUCCCUUCCGGGAUCCGUGCACUACUCCACAGGGCUGAGAAAAUGCUUUCUCCCCCUUUUCUGGAAGGUCGGAUUCUUUAAAUUGCUCAACCCAGCUUGUCCAGGAAACGCCUUCCUUGAUCCUGGAAUGGGGGCACGUCCCUCGUUGGCUGCUGCGUGAGCAAAGGAACUAUUUUCCAGCGACUGUCCUCAGGUGACCUGUCUAGACGCUCAGAG